UUCGAAAAUGAUAAUUGACCUUCUUAAACAAUAUUUUACCAUAAUGUCUGGUAAUCCUAAACAAUCACUUUUAACACUCACGAGUAGACAACUUACAAUAAUACAACAACAAGUUGUCUAAGUGACAUAAUUCUCGAAGCUAUUGGUUUAAAAUCUAUACAACACAUCAAUAAAGUAAAGUACAUUAAGUGUUGCAGCGGAAUAACUCAAGUGCAUUACAUGUAUGAAGACAUGAAAUCCUGAGCCUGAUUUAAUACAUAUACAUCAAGACUUUGCUCUGCUUGCUUCCAUCUGCAUCACAUCACAACUUAACCUGCAUAUUUAGAAACACAUGCAGGACUGAGUACCAAAAAGCACUCAAUGGUCAUGCCGAAAUAACUUUAAAUCUUGCUGUUAGAGCUAUAUAUUGAACCUGUCAUCUCAAGCAUCACACAGGAGUUUUAUUUAAAUAGCAUGUGUAUGCAAAAACUGUAAAACUUCUCUGUAAUUAUCAUAACAUCAUAUACGUCUGCAGACAAUUAAUAUGUAUGAACCAUAUCUACGCAUCAUAUAACUCUGAGUGUUGAGAAGUAGGCCUCCUUCUCAAACACGACGACAAGCUAACUCAACGGUUAAUUGUCAACUCUGUGUACACAAAUACUGACUCGCUCAGGACCCGAAUUCGUUCUUCUAUGUAGAUGGUAUCAUACAAAUCUCAAAUAUUGGCAAGUCAAUAAUUUGAAUAUAAAUGCAUACACUUAAACUUUUUAUAAUAAAGUAUGCAUCUUUACUUCUUGAGUUAGUAAGCCCACCUGAUACGCUUAAUGAAAUAGAAGUCCUUGCUUGUUCACUCUACACUGCCAAUCGAACCUUCAUUAUAAUGAGGUUCCCAAUGUAAGAUUGGAUAGAUAGACAAGAAAUAAACAAAAAUAAUUCCUAGUUGAAACUUCUAUCACUUGAAACUUUAGAGUUGCAUUCUCUAGUUUAGAUCGUCUGUUUUUAUGAAUUUAAUUGGACUAAAAGCAUAUACUAACAUUCCAUCUCUUAGGAUAUCUCACUUGAGAAAGCUUAAGAGUAAACUAAUCCAUUCUAUAUAGAUUAACUUACAAUUAAUAAGUGAAACACCAAUCACUUAGCAUAGUUCUAUUCAUAACUAUCUCAGGUAAGAAAUCUCAAAUAUGCAAUCAUAUAUGAAUCUCAACUUUGAAAAAUCAUAUAAAAUCAACCUCUUCAAAGAAAAAUACAAGCUUUACUUUUUCAUAAAGCUAUUAAAGUCUAUAUUUCUCAGAAAUUUACAAAAUCACAAUAAGAAAUUAUAUCAAGAAAGGCAGAAUCUGCCACUUAACUUUGCUGCUUCGUGCAGUACUUUUCAUAAAAUCGUUUGACACAUCUAACUGUGUUGGAUUUAGCUGAAAUUUUGCAGACAUCUAAUACUCAUAAUGAAGUUAUCACUGUAAAAAUUUCAAGUCAUUUGGACCACAAGAACACUGCCGAAAACCCCUCAUAAGACACUGGUUCGUCAGCCAAACUUGACAGCAAUAUACUUCUGUUUCAACUCAACAUUUAACUCAUACUUUGACCAAUUAAAAGUGUAGAGACUCAAAUACAUGAUCAUAAUACAUACUAGGAUACUUUAACUUCAAACUUAACUCAUGUUUAACACAUCAACAUAGCCAUCUAGUUAUAACAUAACAAUUCCCAUAACAAAUCUCCAUACAUUAGAGCCUUACAAAAGAAUGAGGUAGUAGACUGUUCUAAUUUCCAUAUAUUUGAUAAAAUCACAUCAUAAUAUAUCUACAUCCAUCAAUAAAUAGAAUAUAAACCUUCUUAACUCGAAAGCCCUAAUUUACCCUAAACUAACAAAAUCAAUCUCACAAACUAUGUGGUGUAAACUCAUAAUUUAUUCAUAUAUGACAUAAUUCCAGCUCAAAAACACAUAUAUGAACUCAAUUAUUCAAGAAUAUAAUCAUAACUCUCAAACUCAAACAUAGGGUUCAUACUAACUUGAGCAAAAUCAAAAUCAAGUAAGAAUUAACACAAUUAACCACCAUAAUCAUGCUUAGGAAUAUAAAAAACGUAAUAUAUCUCCAUAUUGACAUCAUAUUUCAACUCUAGUAUGAAAUCCCCAAUUUUUCAAAAACCCUAGAAUUCAAAACAUAAUUUUCUUCAAGUUAAAAAUCACAAAUAAAUAGAGAAUCAAAGAAUUCACAUUUUUCUUUCAAAUAUUGCAGCUACUCCUUAAAAUUUCUCUACAACUCGAACUUAAAAGAAGAAAAUGGUGGUUCUAUGCUUUUAGGGAAAACUCUCAACAGUUUCAGCUAGAAGAAGGGAAUGAAUUUCCCUUAAAUAUAUACGUUUAGCCUCUUUCUAGGGAAUUGUAAGAAUUUCUUUUUAAAGAUAUUUAAUACUCCUACAAGAUAAAAUUUAGAAUCCAAUUGGG
rnacentral:lncRNA from 1 species